rnacentral:rRNA from 1 species
GAUGAACGCUAGCGGCAGGCCUAACACAUGCAAGUCGAGGGGUAACAUAGAAAAGCUUGCUUUUCUGAUGACGACCGGCGCACGGGUGCGUAACGCGUAUACAACCUACCUUUUAGCGGGGAAUAGCCCAGGGAAACUUGGAUUAAUGCCCCAUAGUAUAUAGACUUCUCCUGAAGUUUAUAUUAAACAUUUAUGGCUAUUAGAUGGGUAUGCGUCCUAUUAGUUAGUUGGUAAGGUAACGGCUUACCAAGGCAGCGAUAGGUAGGGGUCCUGAGAGGAGAUCCCCACACUGGUACUGAGACACGGACCAGACUCCUACGGGAGGCAGCAGUGAGGAAUAUUGGACAAUGGGCGAGAGCCUGAUCCAGCCAUGCCGCGUGCAGGAAGACUGCCCUAUGGGUUGUAAACUGCUUUUACAGAGGAAGAACCACCCCCACGUGUGGGGGUUUGACGGUACUCUGCGAAUAAGGAUCGGCUAACUCCGUG